rnacentral:rRNA from 1 species
UACGAAGGGGGCUAGCGUUGCUCGGAAUCACUGGGCGUAAAGCGCACGUAGGCGGCUUUCUAAGUCAGGGGUGAAAUCCUGGAGCUCAACUCCAGAACUGCCUUUGAUACUGGAGAGCUUGAGUCCGGAAGAGGUGAGUGGAACUCCGAGUGUAGAGGUGAAAUUCGUAGAUAUUCGCAAGAACACCAGUGGCGAAGGCGGGUCUCUGGGCCGAUACUGACGCUGAGGAGCGAAAGCGUGGGGAGCGAACAGG